UCUCCGUAGGUGAACCUGCGGAGGGAUCAUUACAGAGCUCAUGCCCUACCGGGUAGAUCUCCCACCCUAUGUUAUUAUUACUUUGUUGCUUUGGCGGGCCGUUAGGCUCCGGCCCGACUACCGGCCCCGGCUGGUAAGCGCCCGCCAGAGGACCCAAAACCCUGAAUAUUAGUGUCGUCUGAGUACUAUAUAAUAGUUAAAACUUUCAACAACGGAUCUCUUGGUUCUG
rnacentral:misc_RNA from 1 species